rnacentral:rRNA from 1 species
AUUGAACGCUGGCGGCAUGCCUUACACAUGCAAGUCGAACGGAUUAUAGGGCUUCGGUUUUAUAGUUAGUGGCGGACGGGUGAGUAACGCGUGGGAACCUGCCCUAUAGUGCGGGAUAACUGUGGGAAACUACAGCUAAUACCGCAUAUUCUCCGUUUCAGCGGGCAGAGAUUUUAGAGAUAAGCGGACAGGGAACGAUUGGGUAUUUAGCAUAAUUUGUGUUGGAUACGGGAUGGUUUUUUGUCUUGUUAUUUUUAGUCUCUGUCCUCUGAAGCGGAGGAAAGAUUUAUCGCUAUAGGAUGGGCCCGNGUUAGAUUAGGUAGUUGGUAGGGUAAUGGCUUACAAGGCGACGAUCUGUAGCCGGCCUGAGGAGGGCGGUCGGCCACACUGACACUGAAUAACGGGUCAGACU